rnacentral:lncRNA from 1 species
ACAGACAUAUGAAAUGCAGUUGCUUGAUGAGGAGGAGGCUUUUUCUGUCUUCUGCCGUGCUGCCUUCGAUCAGGAGUGUGUUCCUAAGACUGCUGACAAGAGAUUGGUUAAGCAGGUCUCUGCAGAGUGCAGAGGCCUUCCUCUAGCUCUGAAGGUCAUUGGUGCAUCGUUGCGUGAUCAACCUCCUAAGAUAUGGCUGAGUGCCAAGAACCGGUUGUCGCGAGGGGAGGCUAUUUCUGACUCCCAUGAGACCAAGCUCCUGGAGAGAAUGGCGGCAAGUGUUGAGUGCUUGUCAGAGAAGGUUAGAGAUUGUUUCCUUGAUCUGGGCUGCUUCCCAGAGGAUAAGAAGAUCCCUCUUGAUGUGUUGAUCAACAUUUGGAUGGAGAUUCAUGAUCUUGAUGAACCAGAUGCUUUUGCCAUCUUGGUUGAGCUUUCAGACAAGAACCUUCUUACUCUUGUCAACGAUGCACAGUAUGUAUCAUUUGCCAUAUAAAUGCUUCGAAAUAUUUAAGAAUUGAUAUUAUCUCGAAGAACGGGUUUUAACUCUUUGCUGCUCUUUGUGCAGGAACAAGGCUGGAGAUUUGUAUAGUAGCUACCAUGACUACUCGGUGAUGCAACAUGAUGUGUUGAGAGAUCUUGCACUCCACAUGAGUGGGCGUGACCCUCUGAAUAAACGGAGGCGGUUGGUGAUGCCAAGAAGGGAAGAAACUCUUCCAAGGGACUGGCAGAGGAACAAGGACACUCCGUUUGAAGCUCAGAUAGUUUCCAUUCAUACAGGUGCAACAUUUGUCCUUUAUUGUUCUUUACUUUUCUGAAUAUUUGUUGCCAACAACUUGUCAUCCAACAUCUGUAGUGAAUUCGUUCUGAAUCUUACUGAAAUUUGGAAGAACCAUCUUAGUAAUAAACAAAAGUACACAACAUAAUGAGACUUUUUGUUUGUCCCAUGAUUGUUAAGUCUACCAGCAAACUUAUCAUCAUCCCUAAAAUUCUAUUGUUACACCAGUGUUGCAGGAACAUGGUUUUGUAGUUUUGUUCUGAAACAUUUCCUUCAUAGAUUAGUAGUAGUUUCCACAUGUGCUCUUCCUUGGGACAGACUGAUCUGACCAACUGUUACCAAAACUCCAGGUGAAAUGAAAGAGACUGACUGGUUCCAGAUGAGCUUCCCCAAGGCCGAAGUGCUCAUCCUCAACUUCGCCUCAAGCGUUUACUACCUCCCACCAUUCAUCGCAACGAUGCAGAACCUGAAAGCCUUGGUGCUGAUCAACUACGGCACCACCAGCGCAACCCUCGACAACCUAUCUGCCUUCUCCAUGCUCAGCGGCCUGAGGAGCCUCUGGUUGGAGAAGAUCACACUCCCACCGCUGCCAAAGACCA